CUUCGGACAAUAUACAAGGUGCUGCAUGGUUGUCGUCAGCUCGUGCCGUGAGGUGUCGGGUUAAGUCCCAUAACGAGCGCAACCCCUAUCAUUAGUUGCCAUCAGGUCAAGUUGGGGACUCUAAAGGAACUGCCUACGCAAGUAGUGAGGAAGCGGGGAUGACGUCAAAUCAGCACGGCCCUUACGUCCAGGGCUACACACGUGCUACAAUGGCCGAUACAGAGGGCAGCUACCUGGUGACAGGAUGCAAAUCUCCAAAGUCGGUCUCAGUUCGGAUCGGAGUCUGCAACCCGACUCCGUGAAGUUGGAUUCGCUAGUAAUCGCGCAUCAGCCAUGGCGCGGUGAAUACGUUCCCGGGCCUU
rnacentral:rRNA from 1 species